GAUGAACGCUGGCGCCGUGCUUAACACAUGCAAGUCGAACGGUGAACGAGGGAGCUUGCUCCCUCCGGAUCAGCGGCGAACGGGUGAGUAACACGUGAGCAAUCUGCCCUGGACUCUGGGAUAAGCGUUGGAAACGACGUCUAAUACCGGAUGCGACACGCCUCCGCAUGGGGAGCGUGUGGAAAGUUUUUCGGUCUGGGAGAGACUCGCGGCCUAUCAGCUUGUUGGUGAGGUAAUGGCUCACCAAGGCGAUGACGGGUAGCCGGCCUGUGGGCGCGUUCAGCCACAAUGGGACUGCGGCACGAGCCAGACUGCUACGGGAGGCCGCGGUGGGGAAUAUUGCACAAUGGGCGAAAGCCUGAUGCCGCGACGCCGCGUGGGGGGUGACGGCCUUCGGGUUGUAAACCUCUUUCAGCAAGGAAGAGGCGAAAGUGACGGUACGUGCAGAAGAAGCACCGGCUAACUACGUGCCAGCCGCCGCGGUAAGAC
rnacentral:rRNA from 1 species